rnacentral:rRNA from 1 species
UACGUAGGGUGCGAGCGUUAAUCGGAAUUACUGGGCGUAAAGCGUGCGCAGGCGGUUUUUUAAGCCAGAUGUGAAAGCCCCGGGCUCAACCUGGGAAUGGCAUUUGGGAUUGUAAGGCUGGAGUAUGGCAGAGGGGACUAGAAUUCCUGGUGUAGCAGUGAAAUGCGUAGAUAUCAGGAGGAAUACCGAUGGCGAAGGCAGGUCCCUGGGCCAAUACUGACGCUCAUGCACGAAAGCGUGGGGAGCAAACAGG